rnacentral:rRNA from 1 species
UGUGAACUCGAAGAGUAGGGCGGGACACGUGGUAUCCUGUCUGAAUAUGGGGGGACCAUCCUCCAAGGCUAAAUACUCCUGACUGACCGAUAGUGAACCAGUACCGUGAGGGAAAGGCGAAAAGAACCCCGGCGAGGGGAGUGAAAAAGAACCUGAAACCGUGUACGUACAAGCAGUGGGAGCACCUUCGGGUGUGACUGCGUACCUUUUGUAUAAUGGGUCAGCGACUUAUAUUCUGUAGCAAGGUUAACCGUAUAGGGGAGCCGCAGGGAAACCGAGUCUUAACUGGGCGUUAAGUUGCAGGGUAUAGACCCGAAACCCGGUGAUCUAGCCAUGGGCAGGUUGAAGGUUGGGUAACACUAACUGGAGGACCGAACCGACUAAUGUUGAAAAAUUAGCGGAUGACUUGUGGCUGGGGGUGAAAGGCCAAUCAAACCGGGAGAUAGCUGGUUCUCCCCGAAAGCUAUUUAGGUAGCGCCUCGUGAAUUCAUCUUCGGGGGUAGAGCACUGUUUCGGCUAGGGGGUCAUCCCGACUUACCAACCCGAUGCAAACUACGAAUACCGAAGAAUGUUAUCACGGGAGACACACGGCGGGUGCUAACGUCCGUCGUGAAGAGGGAAACAACCCAGACCGCCAGCUAAGGUCCCAAAGUCAUGGUUAAGUGGGAAACGAUGUGGGAAGGCACAGACAGCCAGGAUGUUGGCUUAGAAGCAGCCAUCAUUUAAAGAAAGCGUAAUAGCUCACUGGUCGAGUCGGCCUGCGCGGAAGAUGUAACGGGGCUAAACCAUGCACCGAAGCUGCGGCAGCGACACUAUGUGUUGUUGGGUAGGGGAGCGUUCUGUAAGCCUGCGAAGGUGACCUGUGAGGGUUGCUGGAGGUAUCAGAAGUGCGAAUGCUGACAUAAGUAACGAUAAAGCGGGUGAAAAGCCCGCUCGCCGGAAGACCAAGGGUUCCUGUCCAACGUUAAUCGGGGCAGGGUGAGUCGACCCCUAAGGCGAGGCCGAAAGGCGUAGUCGAUGGGAAACAGGUUAAUAUUCCUGUACUUGGUGUUACUGCGAAGGGGGGACGGAGAAGGCUAUGUUAGCCGGGCGACGGUUGUCCCGGUUUAAGCAUGUAGGCUGGUUAUCCAGGCAAAUCCGGAUAAUCAAGGCUGAGGUGUGAUGACGAGGCACUACGGUGCUGAAGUAACAAAUGCCCUGCUUCCAGGAAAAGCCUCUAAGCAUCAGGUAACAUCAAAUCGUACCCCAAACCGACACAGGUGGUCAGGUAGAGAAUACCAAGGCGCUUGAGAGAACUCGGGUGAAGGAACUAGGCAAAAUGGUGCCGUAACUUCGGGAGAAGGCACGCUGGUGUGUAGGUGAAGUCCCUGCGGAUGGAGCUGAGACCAGUCGAAGAUACCAGCUGGCUGCAACUGUUUAUUAAAAACACAGCACUGUGCAAACACGAAAGUGGACGUAUACGGUGUGACGCCUGCCCGGUGCCGGAAGGUUAAUUGAUGGGGUUAUCCGUAAGGAGAAGCUCUUGAUCGAAGCCCCGGUAAACGGCGGCCGUAACUAUAACGGUCCUAAGGUAGCGAAAUUCCUUGUCGGGUAAGUUCCGACCUGCACGAAUGGCGUAAUGAUGGCCAGGCUGUCUCCACCCGAGACUCAGUGAAAUUGAACUCGCUGUGAAGAUGCAGUGUACCCGCGGCAAGACGGAAAGACCCCGUGAACCUUUACUAUAGCUUGACACUGAACAUUGAGCCUUGAUGUGUAGGAUAGGUGGGAGGCUUUGAAGCGUGGACGCCAGUCUGCGUGGAGCCAACCUUGAAAUACCACCCUUUAAUGUUUGAUGUUCUAACGUUGGCCCCUUACCGGGGUUGCGGACAGUGUCUGGUGGGUAGUUUGACUGGGGCGGUCUCCUCCCAAAGCGUAACGGAGGAGCACGAAGGUUAGCUAAUCCUGGUCGGACAUCAGGAGGUUAGUGCAAUGGCAUAAGCUAGCUUGACUGCGAGCGUGACGGCGCGAGCAGGUGCGAAAGCAGGUCAUAGUGAUCCGGUGGUUCUGAAUGGAAGGGCCAUCGCUCAACGGAUAAAAGGUACUCCGGGGAUAACAGGCUGAUACCGCCCAAGAGUUCAUAUCGACGGCGGUGUUUGGCACCUCGAUGUCGGCUCAUCACAUCCUGGGGCUGAAGUAGGUCCCAAGGGUAUGGCUGUUCGCCAUUUAAAGUGGUACGCGAGCUGGGUUUAGAACGUCGUGAGACAGUUCGGUCCCUAUCUGCCGUGGGCGCUGGAGAAUUGAGGGGGGCUGCUCCUAGUACGAGAGGACCGGAGUGGACGCAUCACUGGUGUUCGGGUUGUCAUGCCAAUGGCACUGCCCGGUAGCUAAAUGCGGAAGAGAUAAGUGCUGAAAGCAUCUAAGCACGAAACUUGCCCCGAGAUGAGUUCUCCCUGAGACUUUAAGUCUCCUGAAGGAACGUUAAAGACGAUGACGUUGAUAGGCCGGGUGUGUAAGCGCAGCGAUGCGUUGAGCUAACCGGUACUAAUGAACCGUGAGGCUUAACCUU